UGAAUAUAGAAGAUUAUUCAUUAGGGCAGUCGAACUUGGAGCAAGUAUUUUUAUCAUUUACCAAAUUACAAAGAGAAUCAUUCUCGUAAUUGUGAUUAAACUAGUCAAUUUUGUGAUAACGUUCAAAAUGGAAUUAAUAGAUAAAAUAGUACAAUGUUGGAAACUAUAUGUACAUAAGUAUUUCGGAAAUAGUUUAAAAGUGCAUUUGUUUUAUUACUGUUUAGACAGAUUUUAUUCUACUACCGUUUUCAAAGUACUUACAUAAAAUUUUAUACUAAUAAGUAAAUAAUUAGAUGAUAGAAAAACAAGGAAUGAAAAGGAAAUUACGGUGCUAUAGAUUAGUGUUGAAACUAUUUAUUGUUAAUUGGCUAUGAAGUCCCAUAUUUAUCACGUGUAAUGUCAUUUAGUAUCACUUCUGUGUUGACUUUAAGGUCGCUAGAUACAGUUAAUAAUAAUUUGAUUUUAAAUGUUUUUGUGUUCAUCAGAUUACGUGUUCCCAUUUACCUUUUCCUAAUAGAGGCUUUAAGCUAUAUGUAUGUACGUAUGUCUACAAAUAAGUAAAUAUUUUUUUGUAAUAGAA